rnacentral:rRNA from 1 species
AUUGAACGCUGGCGGAAUGCUUUACACAUGCAAGUCGAACGGCAGCACGGGGCAACCUGGUGGCGAGUGGCGAACGGGUGAGUAAUAUAUCGGAACGUGCCCAAUCGUGGGGGAUAACGUAGCGAAAGUUACGCUAAUACCGCAUACGAUCUACGGAUGAAAGCGGGGGAUCGCAAGACCUCGCGCGAAUGGAGCGGCCGAUAUCAGAUUAGGUAGUUGGUGGGGUAAAGGCUCACCAAGCCAACGAUCUGUAGCUGGUCUGAGAGGACGACCAGCCACACUGGAACUGAGACACGGUCCAGACUCCUACGGGAGGCAGCAGUGGGGAAUUUUGGACAAUGGGCGCAAGCCUGAUCCAGCCAUUCCGCGUGCAGGAUGAAGGCCUUCGGGUUGUAAACUGCUUUUGUACGGAACGAAACGGUCUGCCCUAAUACGGCAGGCUAAUGACGGUACCGUAAGAAUAAGCACCGGCUAACUAACGUGCCAGCAGCCGCGGU